CCAAUAGCGUAUAUUAAAGUUGUUGCAGUUAAAAAGCUCGUAGUUGAACUUCGGGGUUCACCCAUUGGUCAGGCUUAAUUGUCUGUACUGGUGAGAUGAGUCUCUACCUUCUGAGGAACUUUCAUGCCAUUUAUUUGGUGUGGUUGGAAAUCAGGACUGUUACUUUGAAAAAAUUAGAGUGUUUAAAGCAGGCUAACGUCUGAAUACAUUAGCAUGGAAUAAUGAAAUAGGACGGAUUGAUUCUAUUUCGUUGGUUUCUAGGGUCACCGUAAUGAUUAAUAGGGAUAGUUGGGGGCAUUAGUAUUCAAUUGUCAGAGGUGAAAUUCUUGGAUUUAUUGAAGACUAACUACUGCGAAAGCAUUUGCCAAGGAUGUUUUCAUUAAUCAAGAACGAAAGUUAGGGGAUCGAAGACGAUCAGAUACCGUCGUAGUUCUGACCAUAAACGAUGUCGACUAGCGAUCCGCGGUCGUUGUUCAUAUGACCUCGCGGGCAGCCUUCG
rnacentral:misc_RNA from 1 species